AGAUGGUUUCUCUUCAUGGACUUACAGCAGGUCAGACGGUUGCAGGUGUGGAAGACUGAAAAACUUUGUUUACACACAAAACAUCACCUUUGUUGUUUACUGCUUGUGACAGGUAGCAGUCCGAUGAUACCAUAAGUGACAGCACCUCCACUGUCUACAAUCAGAUAGUUAAUGACAUUGGCGGUCAGUUUACAAUUCGGUUCAAAAUUAAUGCUUUAUUAUGGACAGGUGAGGGAUGUUCACUGAUGUUCACUGGCUGGCAUCACCUGUAGUUGUGAUACAAAUCACUCGGCCAACACACGGACAUCAUUCUGUGAAAACCUGUUCAUAUUUACAAAAUGUUAAUGAACGGAAUGCAAACAGUUUUCCUUUAGGACAAGGCCUGCACAAUGUAACAUUUUUGUCAACAAACUAUUAGUAAUUCAGUAUUUACUGAGGAGCUUUUUCAGUUCGAUCUCUAAAUUUUCUAGGACUUAUUGUUUUGUUAUGCUUUAUUCAGAUUUUGUUUUUCGUUAUAUUUUUUAGUUCUGUAUUGAUAAGCUAUAUGCAGUUAUAUGUGAACUAGAAACCUCUGUAUACUGUAGCCUGCUCGGCAAUAAAGAACGAGAAGAGUGAA